rnacentral:rRNA from 1 species
AACGAACGCUGGCGGCAUGCCUAACACAUGCAAGUCGAACGAUCCCUUCGGGGAUAGUGGCGCACGGGUGCGUAACGCGUGGGAACCUGCCCUUAGGUUCGGAAUAACAGUUAGAAAUGACUGCUAAUACCGGAUAAUGUCUUCGGACCAAAGAUUUAUCGCCUUAGGAUGGGCCCGCGUUGGAUUAGCUAGUUGGUGGGGUAAAGGCUCACCAAGGCGACGAUCCAUAGCUGGUCUGAGAGGAUGAUCAGCCACACUGGGACUGAGACACGGCCCAGACUCCUACGGGAGGCAGCAGUGGGGAAUAUUGGACAAUGGGCGAAAGCCUGAUCCAGCAAUGCCGCGUGAGUGAUGAAGGCCUUCGGGUUGUAAAGCUCUUUUACUGGGGAUGAUAAUGACAGUAC